GGACGAACGCUGGCGGCAUGCCUAACACAUGCAAGUCGAACGGAGUAAUGACUUCGGUAUACUAGUGGCGAACGGGUGAGUAACACGUGAAUAAUCUGCCCUGUACGAUGGGAUAACAGCUGGAAACGGCUGCUAAUACCGUAUAUGACCACGCCGAGGCAUCUCGGAGGGUGAAAGCGCUUAAGCGGUACAGGAUGAGUUCGCGUCCAAUUAGCUAGUUGGUGAGGUAACGGCCCACCAAGGCGACGAUUGGUAGCCGACCCUGAGAGGGUGAUCGGCCACACUGGAACUGAGACACGGUCCAGACUCCUACGGGAGGCAGCAGUGGGGAAUAUUGGGCAAUGGAGGAAACUCUUACCCAAGCAAUGCCGCGUGAGUGAUGAAGGUCUUCGGAUUGCAAAGCUCUUUGAUUGGGGACGAAUAAAUGACGGUACCCAAGGAACAAGCCCCGGCUAACUAUGUGCCAGCCGCUGC
rnacentral:rRNA from 1 species